rnacentral:tRNA from 1 species
GCGCCCUUAGCUCAAUUGGAUAGAGUACCUGACUUCGGAUCAGGGGGUUGGGGGUUCGAGUCCCUCAGGGCGCG